rnacentral:rRNA from 1 species
GUGUCAGCAGCCGCGGUAAUACGGAGGGUGCAAGCGUUGUUCGGAAUCACUGGGCGUAAAGCGCGUGUAGGCGGCUAUUUAAGUCUGAUGUGAAAGCCCUGGGCUUAACCCAGGAAGUGCAUUGGAUACUGGGUAGCUCGAGUACCGGAGAGGAGGGUGGAAUUCCUGGUGUAGCGGUGAAAUGCGUAGAUAUCAGGAGGAACACCGGUGGCGAAGGCGUCCCUCUGGCCGGAUACUGACGCUGAGACGCGAAAGCGUGGGGAGCAAACAGGAUUAGAAACCCCCGUAGUCC